UCUAAGUGACACCAUGCAUGUAACAUUUUGAAUAAAGUUUUUUUUUUUUUAAUUUUAGGCACCUCAAUAUGAAAACAUUAACCUUUGUCUCUCUCUAAAUAAGCACAGACUAUGUUUGGCAUUGCACAUUCCUUCCCCGCAAAGAGCUUAUAACUAGAGCAAACCAGUCAAAGGGUAGCUAGGUUAUAGUGUGACAUGUGGGAAUUGAAUUAACAGGGGAUUUCUUUUUCUUUUUUUUGUUUGUUUAGCUAUGGAAAUUCAUACCAGGCAUAUGUCCAUCCAUACCUCAUUUCUUAAUUUUGUGACUAUAAAAUUUGGAUCACUGGAAAGGGAAAUGGAGAGUUUGUUGUUUAGCCACAGAGCAAAUACAUGUAGUUGCAGAACAAGAUUUCUCUUGAUGCAGGGUUUUUCUGUUACUGUGCCUGAUCUAAAGAUUGAGGCAAACCUUUGGCCUACUUAGCCAUAGUAACAUAUCUAAAAAGUUGCAAAGUAGUGGGUUUUGGAUUAUUGCUAACAUAAAAACAAUCAGUUACAACAGUAACUGCUUUUUUUUUUUUUCAUAAUCAGCGUACUUUGGGUUUGGGCUAGUGACACAGUGAUGAAGUGUUUGCUAUCCUGUGGUUGAUCCAUCCGUUUUCACUCACUUGAUCUGAUCCAAACUUGGGGAUCAUUUAUUUUGUUCCCUUGCCAGAGAACACAGAAGCGCCAUUUCUGGUGACAUGAUGCAUUCUGGUGUGCUACACAUUUAGCUCUGUCUGCUGGAGAAGUAACAAAGGUCAAAUGAAGUUGUAGGUGUAGGAACUACUUUCCCCUACCAAGACUGAGGAAAGGAGCAUGUGCAGGUACAGCCAGUCUGUUGUUGCUGAGUUUCUGGUUUUGUGCCCACAGGAUCUGUAUUAUCGAUCACAGUCCUGCCAUCUACAAACCAGCUCACAGGAGAUUGAUUUCUGAGAUGAACUAUCCUGCACUGAUAAACAUCUCUCAUAACACCCUGAUGUUCACCGUGUGAUCCUGGAGAAGAGAGACGGUGAUUCAUCAGAACCCAUCCCUCCCUGACCACUGAAGGGCUGUUACCCAGAAGAUGGAGCUCUUUCCCUGAGACUGGUGCUGGAGAUCUUAACAAAUGCAAAUCAUACAGGGGUGUUCUGUGAAUCAGUACUGCUGCCACUGCCGCCAUGCUGCAGCUUCGCUGGACGGUGCUGUGCAUCUCUGUUCCCCACCGUUCAAUUCAGAGCAUUCGCGCUGUGCUGAACAGUGUGUGGUGUCGUCAGAAAGAAAGGUGAGUCGUCACCAGCUGUUUGUGCCACAGUUCCCACCUGCAAAGUGAGUAGAAAAUUGUUUCUUCCCCCUAUUCUUUGACAGUAUUGCAGAUGUUUGAAUUUGGGUGGCUUUUUUGGUUUGGGUUUGUUUUAAAUUUUUUUUUUCCCUACUUGUGAGAGUUUCACUGCCCUUAAAAGAGGCUCAUGCCCGUACAGGACUGUAGGAGGAGGACUCCCUUACCCUGCCCUAAUGCAGUCCCUGCACAACAUGUUGUUGUAAAUCCCUCAUUGCUUUAUAUCCUACCUAAAACUAAUUAUUUAUUUUUUUUUAAUUUAGCCCCUUUGUGACAGCAGCUGGUGUUACUUGUGGACAUGCAUUACCUUUUUAGCUCCUUCUCUCCUGGAUUUAAAUGGACUUCCCCUUUUUUGGCAUGUCCAUUUUUCCAGCAAGCCCUAUUUACCUGUCACCCUGGAGGACGUGCUGGAAUGGACCAAUUUCAGCUCCUUGAAUAGGGGAGCAGCCAUUUGCUGGGCAGAAGAAGCAGCACAUAGGCUUGGGAGCUCUUAAGGGAGACUUCAGUGUUUACAUCAAAGAGAGUCUAUCUAUCCUCACCUUCUUCAAAAGGAUUAAUUUGGUAUUUUCUAUGUAGAAGGGAAUUUUGAGUGACUUUUAAAGGCUGGUGAGGGUGGGGUGAUAGAUUUUCAUGUUUCUGUAGAAGUACCAAGAAUGCUGCUAUGUCCUUUUCCCUGUAAACACGUGCUGAGUGUUGGAUGCUGAUUGGUGACACUUGACCCCACAGCCUCUGCUGAGUUGUUACGGGAACGCCCGUGUGGACACAUCUGGUACAGAGAGAAAAGGUAUGCUGGCUCCUCAGAUUGAGGUAGAGGCUGGCUCACGAGUAACUAUGGCAACCAAGCUGUCACUGUGAGCAUCAAGACAUUUACAUACCAAAAAAUAAAAAACCCCAAAUGGACUGCAAUAUACGUUAAUGCUCCAGCUCAUCUGGAGAUCUGUCCCUCGAUUUUGUUCCUCAGGGAUGUUGGCAGCUGUGGCUAUCACAUGUAGGUAGGAAUUUUUUUUCCCUGCUCUAUCCACUGCAUCAGCAGCAAAAAUUGUUCCUGGUGAUAAAUGUAAUGGUUUCCAAUUAAAAGGGGACAUUUGAACUUCAAGUUGGAGAAACACUGAAGGCAAUUUUGUAUUCACCAUAAAAAGUUUCAUCAGUCACAUGCUUCCAAAAACAGUGUGCUUCCAUCAAUAUUUAUAGCAUUCAGCUCCGUGUUUUCACAGAAGAGCCAUUAAGACAACAUAUCAACUCUCGUGACAAGUUACAUUCAACUGCUGUGAACAAAGACGUUCUUUCUUUCUCUACAAACUCCUCUUUUUUCUUUUUUUAAUCGACCAUGAGGUUUGAGUUUUGAAGGAUAUAUGCGGAUGUGCUUCCCAGUGUUUUCUAGAAGGCUACUAGUGAGAUGACAGAGUGAGCUCAUAGAAGCUUGUGGAAGACAUUGCUCUCCAGCUGCCAGAAUUGUUACAGCCGGCCAAACGACCUGCACGCAUCUGCUGCUGCUCCUUCCCAUGCAUUCAGAGGCUCAGGGGACCAUGGGAGAUACACGUCCAGGACAGACUGUACCACCACGUUCAGUUACGUUUGAUUUUUUCUGCCAACAGUAUUUAUUUGUGCAUGCAAAGCAAAGGGAUGGUUCGUUUGCUUCAUCACUUGUGUUGGCAAAAUGAUUGUGCUGGUUUUUUUUCCAGGUUCAUCUCUCGCGAUCCCGCAUGGGACAGCAGAAUUUGAGCUAUGCCGUACAAUUUCACUUUUUGGUGGACCCAUUUUUGAACCUGGGAGGAAUUGGGGGGGGGGGGGAGGGGGGAGAAAUCUUUU